CUCCUUCAAGCUGUGGACACCCCAGCUCUUGGACUUGUAAUUGCAGUACCAUCUACACCUUGGAAAGGAAAUGCAAAAAAGGGCCAAGUCAAAAUGUUUAUAGCUACAGCUAGACAAAGUAUAACAUUCAGUGUACAAGAGCAACAUGAGGGAGAAACUGGAACCUGGAAAAAGCCCAGGUUUCUGAUGGACAUUCUAACUACAAACCAACAUUUAAAGUUUGUCUUGAAAACUUGUUUUGAACUAUGCUGAGACAUUAUUUUUCCUGUGCAACAGUCAAAGUUUGCAUAAGUAUUACACACACAACUCAUACAGUAAUGUUAGCAUGCUUAGCUUAGGUAACCUGAAUCAGAGACAAUAUGGUGCUCACACCUAGCGGGGGAUGCUAGCAGACCAAGGACAGCUAGUUAACUAAAUUGCUCUGUCAAAAUGGGCUGACCGGUUAUGAAAAAAAAAAA